rnacentral:rRNA from 1 species
UACGGAGGGAGCUAGCGUUAUUCGGAAUUACUGGGCGUAAAGCGCACGUAGGCGGCUUUGUAAGUUAGAGGUGAAAGCCUGGAGCUCAACUCCAGAACUGCCUUUAAGACUGCAUCGCUUGAAUCCAGGAGAGGUGAGUGGAAUUCCGAGUGUAGAGGUGAAAUUCGUAGAUAUCGGGAGGAACACCCGUGGCGAAGGCGGCCCACUGGGCCGGUACUGACGCUGAGGCGCGAAGGCGUGGGGAGCGAACGGG